UACGAGGGGGGCGAGCGUUGUUCGGAAUUACUGGGCGUAAAGCGUGCGCAGGCGGUUAUAUAAGACAGAUGUGAAAUCCCCGGGCUUAACCUGGGAACUGCGUUUGUGACUGUAUAGCUAGAGUACGGCAGAGGGGGGUGGAAUUCCUGGUGUAGCAGUGAAAUGCGUAGAUAUCAGGAGGAACAUCGAUGGCGAAGGCAGCCCCCUGGGCCUGUACUGACGCUCAUGCACGAAAGCGUGGGGAGCAAACAGG
rnacentral:rRNA from 1 species